rnacentral:rRNA from 1 species
AUUGAACGCUGGCGGCAUGCCUCACACAUGCAAGUCGAACGGUAACGGGCCUUCGGGUGCCGACGAGUGGCGAACGGGUGAGUAAUGUAUCGGAACGUACCUUUCAGUGGGGGAUAACGUAGCGAAAGUUACGCUAAUACCGCAUAUUCUGUGAGCAGGAAAGCAGGGGAUCGCAAGACCUUGCGCCGAUUGAGCGGCCGAUAUCAGAUUAGCUAGUUGGUGAGGUAAAGGCUCACCAAGGCGACGAUCUGUAGCGGGUCUGAGAGGAUGAUCCGCCACACUGGAACUGAGACACGGUCCAGACUCCUACGGGAGGCAGCAGUGGGGAAUUUUGGACAAUGGGGGCAACCCUGAUCCAGCCAUGCCGCGUGAGUGAAGAAGGCCUUCGGGUUGUAAAGCUCUUUCGGCCGGGAAGAAAUCGUAUCAGCUAAUACCUGGUGCGGAUGACGGUACCAGCAUAAGAAGCACCGGCUAACUACGUGCCAGCAGCCGCCGUAAGAC